rnacentral:rRNA from 1 species
UACGGGGGGAGCAAGCGUUUGUUCGGAUUUACUGGGCGUAAAGGGCGCGGUAGGCGGUCAGCACAAGUCAGUUGUGAAAUCUCCGGGCUUAACUCGGAAAGGUCAACUGAUACUGUGCGACUAGAGUGCGGAAGGGGCAACUGGAAUUCUCGGUGUAGCGGUGAAAUGCGUAGAUAUCGGGAGGAACACCUAUGGCGAAGGCAGGCUC